CAGCAGCCACGGUAAGACAGAGGAUGCAAGCGUUAUUCGGAAUGAUUGGGCGUAAAGCGUCUGUAGGUGGCUUUUCAAGUCCACCGUCAAAUCCCCGGGCUCAACCCUGGACAAGCAGUGGAAACUACCAAGCUGGAGUACGGUAGGGGUAGAGGGAAUUUCCGGUGGAGCGGUGAAAUGCGUUGAGAUCGGAAAGAACACCAACGACGAAAGCACUCUGCUGGGCCGACACUGAUACUGAGAGACGAAAGCUAGGGGAGCAAAUGGGAUUAGAUACCCCUGUAGUCCCUGUCUCUUAUAC
rnacentral:rRNA from 1 species